rnacentral:lncRNA from 1 species
CUCGAGUCUCUCGUGGGAUCAAGGAGCUAGUGUCUGCCUGAGCAGCAGAUCUAACAACCCUUGGACAGCAUUCAAUAACCCACCUCUUGCCAACCCCAUCUCAUCCCAACCUUUCAGAGGGCCUGGAGUCUGAUUCCGGAGCCUCUCGGGUGGAUCCUCAAGGUCUUCUGCCUGCACCUCUGACUGCAGACACUCGGUAGCCAGCUUCCUUCCCUCUGCUAAGUCACCUCCCACCCAUGGCUGUGUCUGCUUUCCUCUUCAGACAUAACUCACAUUGUCAUUCAUCUUAUUUAAUCCCCAGUCCUGGGCUCCUCAUCCUGUAAGGUUCCCUGUUUUCAUGCUUUUACUGACAUUUUAGGGGGGGUGGGCAGAAAAGUAAUGAAAGUACAUGUACCACCGGCCAUGUUUAAGCCUCUUCUGCCUGGGCUGGGCAUGGUUGUUCACGCCUGUAAUCCCAGCACUUUGGGAGUCCGAGCAGGUCCAUGGAGAAGGUGGAACACUGGACUAAAGAGACAGGCUGAGGAAGCCCUCAAGUCACCCCUGAUGGAGGCCAGACCUUGAAUGUUACAAUCCCUCUGCUUAUCGACCCUUAAUAAAAAUCUGAGCAGGUCUUCUCUGCAGGACACAGGAGGCUUUCUGGAAAAAAAAACAUGGAAAAGUGAGUCUCCUAAGCGUUCCCAAGUGAUUGAUGCAGGACACAUCUUAAAAGGAUGAAAGGAGGAUGGAGGAAAACUUCAGAAGGAAAUAACACAGUUUGAAUGAAAACACCUAUUUUGCAGAAAGUCCGGAAGUGCUCGACCAAGAGAUCGCGAGAUGGGAGCAGAGAGUACAGGAAAGGAAGGAGGAGAAAGAAAGGCUGGAAACCUUUGAAUGCACAAAAAAAACAGGUCAUGAAAGAUACCACGAGCCAACUAAAAUCUCUGGCUGAAAAUGUGCUGGACACCAUGCAGUUGGAAGAUUUCACUAGGGACCGCAGUGAUGAGGGGAACUUGGAAGCAGAGCUAAAGAGGAAAGCAGAAAAUGAAGAAACCACCCCCUUAAAAAUUAAGUAAAUUUUUUUAAAGUUAUGUGCAUACAUUCUGUAUAUACAGAAAAGAUAUCUAAAUUGUAUGCACGCAGAAGGAGCAUUGCCCCCACAAGGAACAGUUCAUGCUAAAUGGUGCAGAUGAAGAGACUUUGACAAAGGAAGUUUCCUGAGCUGUGGGCAGGGAUGAGAGCUCAGACAAAUGAUGGGAAGCCUCCCAGAUGCCAAGGUUUCCCACCCCCAGGUUUCAAGGGAGGAGAGAGGAAGUGAUGUCAUCUGAGCCCAGUGAGGCCCUGUCAAGGGACCAGGGAAAACUGCCCCCACUUUUUGCUCCCAUCCUCUCAUUGACUGCAGGUGCACAGGCAGCUGCCUGAAAGAGGGCCUGCGAAGUGCAAGCCAGAGGAGUUGGCCUCCAUGGCACAGAGCAGGCAGAAAACAAAUUUGGAGAAUGACCAGCACUCUUGGGUUUAUUUGACUGAAAGUGCUUGUUUUAUUGCAUUCACUCACAUCCAUUUAUUUAAUAAAUAUCCAUGGAGUGUC